rnacentral:rRNA from 1 species
AUUGAACGCUGGCGGCAGGCUUAACACAUGCAAGUCGAGCGGAGCGAGGGUGCUUGCACCUUAGCUUAGCGGCGGACAGGUGAGUAAUGCUUAGGAAUCUGCCUAUUAGUGGGGGACAACAUUCCGAAAGGAAUGCUAAUACCGCAUACGCCCUACGGGGGAAAGCAGGGGAUCUUCGGACCUCGCGCUAAUAGAUGAGCCUAAGUCGGAUUAGCUAGUUGGUGGGGUAAAGGCCUACCAAGGCGACGAUCUGUAGCGGGUCUGAGAGGAUGAUCCGCCACACUGGGACUGAGACACGGCCCAGACUCCUACGGGAGGCAGCAGUGGGGAAUAUUGGACAAUGGGCGGAAGCCUGAUCCAGCCAUGCCGCGUGUGUGAAGAAGGCCUUUUGGUUGUAAAGCACUUUAAGCGAGGAGGAGGCUACUUAGAUUAAUACUCUGGGAUAGUGGACGUUACUCGCAGAAUAAGCACCGGCUAACUCUGUGCCAGCCGCCGCCGUAAUAC